AACGAACGCUGGCGGCAGGCCUAACACAUGCAAGUCGAACGCCGUAGCAAUACGGAGUGGCAGACGGGUGAGUAACGCGUGGGAACAUACCCUUCGGUUCGGAAUAACUCAGGGAAACUUGUGCUAAUACCGGAUACGUCCGAGGUAAAACUUGGAGAAAGAUUUAUCGCCGGAGGAUUGGCCCGCGUCUGAUUAGCUUGUUGGUGAGGUAAUGGCUCACCAAGGCGACGAUCAGUAGCUGGUCUGAGAGGAUGAUCAGCCACAUUGGGACUGAGACACGGCCCAAACUCCUACGGGAGGCAGCAGUGGGGAAUAUUGGACAAUGGCGAAAGCCUGAUCCAGCCAUGCCGCGUGAGUGAUGAAGGCC
rnacentral:rRNA from 1 species